CAAUCAAACCGGGAGAUAGCUGGUUCUCCCCGAAAGCUAUUUAGGUAGCGCCUCGUGAAUUCAUCUCCGGGGGUAGAGCACUGUUUCGGCUAGGGGGCCAUCCCGGCUUACCAACCCGAUGCAAACUGCGAAUACCGGAGAAUGUUAUCACGGGAGACACACGGCGGGUGCUAACGUCCGUCGUGAAGAGGGAAACAACCCAGACCGCCAGCUAAGGUCCCAAAGUCAUGGUUAAGUGGGAAACGAUGUGGGAAGGCCCAGACAGCCAGGAUGUUGGCUUAGAAGCAGCCAUCAUUUAAAGAAAGCGUAAUAGCUCACUGGUCGAGUCGGCCUGCGCGGAAGAUGUAACGGGGCUAAACCAU
rnacentral:rRNA from 11 species